GACGAACGCUGGCGGCGUGCUUAACACAUGCAAGUCGAACGGAAAGGCCCUGCUUUUGUGGGGUGCUCGAGUGGCGAACGGGUGAGUAACACGUGAGUAACCUGCCCUUGACUUUGGGAUAACUUCAGGAAACUGGGGCUAAUACCGGAUAGGAGCUCCUGCUGCAUGGUGGGGGUUGGAAAGUUUCGGCGGUUGGGGAUGGACUCGCGGCUUAUCAGCUUGUUGGUGGGGUAGUGGCUUACCAAGGCUUUGACGGGUAGCCGGCCUGAGAGGGUGACCGGCCACAUUGGGACUGAUGUACGGCCCAGACUCCUACUGGAGGCAGCAGUGGGGAAUAUUGCACAAUGGGCUGAAGCCUGAUGCAGCAACGCCGCGUGCGGGAUGACGGCCUUCGGGUUGUAAACCGCUUUCGCCUGCGACGAAGCGUGAGUGACGGUAAUGUGUAAAGAAGCACCGGCUAACUACGUG
rnacentral:rRNA from 1 species